rnacentral:rRNA from 1 species
AUGUCUCCUCAGGCUCUGGGCACUCUCAGUUCCUCACUUCCCCUGGUCCUUGUCCUCUGCUCCCUUGUUUAUGCAUCUUCAUUAGAUUCUAUAGCACCCCAAAAUGAUUCUAACACCGACCUCCAUGCUCUCUGCUGCCUUAAACUCCAUCUCACGACCUCUGCUGGACUCCUGGUCUCAUGGAAAAAUGACUCGCUGCAGUUCUGCAGUUGGUCCGGUGUUACUUGCAGCAAGAGACAUGCAUCUCGUGUCAUUGCACUGGACCUCGAGUCACUUGACCUCGAUGGACAGAUACCACCAUGUAUCGGCAAUCUCACUUUCCUCACAAAAAUCCACAUCCCCAACAAUCAACUUACUGGCCAAAUACCACCUGAACUUGGGCAACUAAAUAGGCUGCGGUACCUUAACCUCAGCACAAACAAUCUUACUGGCAGGAUCCCAAGCACUCUGUCUUCAUGCGUUCACCUUCAAACUAUUGAUCUUGGAAGCAACUCCCUUGAUGGUGUGAUCCCCCCAAGCCUAAGCCAAUGCUCAGAUAUGCAGCAGCUCAGUUUGGGUCACAACAAGCUCAGUGGAGGUAUCCCAGAAGGGUUGGGGAUGCUCCGAAACCUUGCAGUUUUACGUCUUGCUACAAAUAGUCUGACGGGCAGCAUUCCACGUUCACUUGGAAGCAGCUCUUCUCUUCACUCUGUUGUUCUCACGAACAAUAGCCUCACAGGACCUAUCCCGCCUCUCCUAGCUAAUAGUUCCUCACUUCAACUUUUGGCCUUAUCAAACAAUCACCUGAGUGGAGAGAUUCCUCCUGCACUGUUUAACAGUACAUCACUCCAAAAGUUAUUACUGGGAACAAACAGCUUUGCUGGGUCCAUACCAGCCUUGUUGAACAUUGACUCACCCUUGCAGUAUCUUAUCUUGCAAUCAAAUAAUCUUUCUGGCACCAUACCUUCCUUUAUAGGGAACUUUUCCUCCCUUCGCUGGCUCUUGCUUGGAGAUAAUAAUUUCCAAGGUAACAUCCCCAUGAGUAUAGAUGAAAUUCGAAACCUGGAAAUACUAGACAUCACUUAUAACUUUUUGACAGGGAGUGUCCCAGCCUCUCUUUACAACAUGUCAGCACUCACAUACCUUGGCAUGGCUACAAACAAUCUUGUAGGGGAGCUUCCACACAACAUCGGAUACACCCUUCCAAGCAUCCAAACUUUGAUUAUGCAAGGAAACCAGUUCCAAGGCCAAAUCCCCACUUCACUAGCAAACACAACCAAUCUCCAGGUGAUCAACCUCCGGAACAAUGCAUUCCAUGGCAUUGUUCCAUCUUUUGGGAUUUUACCCAGCCUAGUCGAUCUGAAUCUAGGCAAGAAUCAACUUGAAGCAGGAGACUGGUCUUUCCUAUCCUCGUUGACAAAUUGCACACAACUGGUGAACUUACGCUUGGAUGCAAACAUCCUUCAAGGAGUCUUGCCGAGUGUCGUUGCAGGCCUUUCAAAGAGCAUAGAGGUACUGUUACUAAGAUCAAAUAAAAUUUCUGGCACCAUACCACAUGAGAUAGAGCACCUCACAGGCCUCAAGCUUCUUUACAUGGAACGGAAUUUGCUUACCGGGAAUCUUCCUGAGUCAAUUGGAAAUCUUCCCAACUUGUUUGUCUUAAGCUUGUCCCAGAACAAAUUUUCUGGACAGAUCCCACUUUCAGUUGGUAAUUUGAGUCAAUUGAGUGAGCUUUACUUACAAGAAAACAGUUUGAGUGGCCCAAUCCCAGAAGCUUUAGGAGACUGCAAAAAACUGCACAUAUUGAACCUCUCUUGUAACAGCUUCAACGGAAGCAUACCAAAGGAGCUCUUUACUCUUUCCGACCUUUCUGAAGGUUUGGACUUGUCUCACAACCAACUCUCUGGAGAAAUACCAAUGGAGAUUGGCGAGUUGAUCAAUCUCGGUCCACUGAAUAUCUCCUAUAACCAACUGUCUGGUCAGAUACCAUCUACUCUAGGUCAGUGCGUCCAAUUGGAGUCGCUCCACAUGGAGGGCAACCGUCUUCAUGGAAGAAUCCCUCAAUCUUUUGUGAAUUUGAGAGGCAUCACUGUGAUGGACCUAUCUCAGAACAACUUAACAGGUGAAAUCCCUGAAUUCUUGAAGCUCUUCAAGUCUAUGAAGCUUCUCAAUUUGUCCUUCAACAACCUCGAAGGAUCAGUACCUGCAGAUGGAAUAUUUCAGAAUGGAAGCAAUGUGUUCAUUCAAGGAAACAAGAAGCUAUGUGCGAGCACCCCAUUGCUACAGUUGCCACUUUGCAAUGCAGAAACAUCCAAACAAAGGCACACCUCCAACAUCUUAAAGAUAGUAGGAUUUACUGCUCUUUUUUUGGUCCUGGUAUCAUGCUUCGGAGUAAUUAUUUGGAAAAAGAGAAAGAAAGUCACACAAGCAGCUCAUCCAUCCUUUGAAGAGUUACAGAAGUUUACAUAUGCUGAUUUAUUGAAAGCAACAAAUGGUUUCUCUUUAGACAACUUGGUUGGUUCAGGAAAAUAUGGGUCCGUGUACAAAGGUAGAAUUGAGUCCGAAGUACAUGAAGUUGCUAUCAAAGUUUUCAAACUUGAUCAACUUGGAGCAACAAAGAGCUUCCUCGAUGAGUGUGAGGCCCUGAGAAACACUCGUCAUCGUAAUCUUGUACGGGUGAUCACUGUAUGCUCAACAAGUGAUCCAACAGGAAAUGAGUUCAAAGCUCUUGUUCUUGAAUAUAAGGUAAAUGGGGACCUCGAAAGUUGGCUCUAUCCAACAUUCCACGAGCAUCACCUGAGAAGGCCAUUGAGUUUAUAUUCAAGAAUAGCAAUAGCAGUGGACAUAGCGGCUGCUUUGGAUUACCUUCAUAACAACUGCAUGCCUCCUAUGGUCCAUUGUGAUCUGAAGCCCAGCAAUGUCCUCCUAAAUGAUGUCAUGGGCGCAUGUGUUGGUGACUUCGGAUUGGCUAAGUUCCUACGCAAUUAUUCUUAUUCGAGCAUUGGUGGUUCUACAAGCUUAGUGGGACCAAGAGGAUCAGUUGGAUACAUUGCACCAGAAUAUGGCUUUGGGAGCAAAAUCUCCACUGAGGGUGAUGUCUACAGUUUUGGAGUCAUCAUCUUAGAAAUGCUCACAGGGAAGCGUCCAACUGAUGAGAUGUUUAAAGAUGGUCUGAGCCUUUACAAAUUUAUCGAAAAAUCAUUUCCAGAAAAGAUUGGCGAGAUUCUAGAUCCUAGAAUUGCUCCGUAUUAUGGGGAGCAAGAUGAAGAAGCAGGAGGUACUUUAGACCAAGAAAAUCAUCAUCAAAUGGCUGGAAUAAUGAGCUGCAUCAUCGAGCUCGUUAAGAUUGGCCUCAUGUGCGCCGCAGAGAUACCUAAAGAUCGUCCCGCAAUGCAGGACGUUUACAUUGAGGUCACCGUAAUCAAAGAAGCAUUUUCAGCACUGCAGGGCUGA